rnacentral:rRNA from 1 species
UACGUAGGGGGCUAGCGUUGUCCGGAAUCAUUGGGCGUAAAGAGCGUGUAGGCGGCCCGGUAAGUCCGCUGUGAAAGUCGGGGGCUCAACCCUCGAAUGCCGGUGGAUACUGUCGGGCUAGAGUGCGGAAGAGGCGAGUGGAAUUCCUGGUGUAGCGGUGGAAUGCGUAGAGAUCUGGAGGAACACCGAUGGCGAAGGCAGCCCCCUGGGCUAACACUGACGCUCAUGCACGAAAGCGUGGGGAGCAAACAGG